AAACUAACAAGGAUUCCCUGAGUAACGGCGAGCGAAAAGGGAAUAGCCCAGCGCCGAAUCUCUUGUCCUCCGGGCAAGAAGACAUGUGGCGUUUGGGACGAGGCUUUGCCUGUGCAGAAUGGUCAUCCAAGUCCCUCUUGAACGGGGCCAUAGCCCAUGGAGGGUGCUAGGCCCGUAUGAUGACUUUAUUGUGCAGUGCGUCUCGUCCGUAGAGUCGGGUUGCUUGGGAGUGCAGCCCAAAUCAGGUGGUAAACUCCAUCUAAGGCUAAAUAUGACCACGAGACCGAUAGCGAACAAGUACCGUGAGGGAAAGUUGAAAAGAACUUUGAAGAGAGAGUUAAAAAGUACGUGAAACCUCUCGGGGGUAAGCGGGCAGAACUUGCAAGUAUUGGCUGGGAACAUUCAGGCUUAGUGUUGGUGGCUUGUGAUGCACGUUUUGUUGCUCUUUCGGGAGUUGACUGCCGUGUGUUGCUUGUUCUACUGACGAUGCGCCGCAUUUGUUCCUGUCAUCGGGUUGCAUGCGACUUGAUGGUAGUUUAGGUGCUGGGUGUCUGCAAAUCCUUGUGAUUUGAGCCUUGGUUUCCAACUGCUGUCGUGGUCGUUGAAAUUACGAGUAGGCGCUUGUCGCGGUCAAAAGAUUUCGCGAGUUGGGUGCUUAUGAUAUGUGGACGGGUAACCGUAGCAUGUUGUCUGUACCUGCUGUCAGUGAGAUUUUGUAUUUGGCACUGCUCUGAUUGCAAUCUAAAGCAUGCG
rnacentral:rRNA from 1 species